GGAAGCUAGAGUAUGGGAGAGGAAGAUAGAAUUCCAGGUGUAGCGGUGAAAUGCGUAGAGAUCUGGAGGAAUACCGAUGGCGAAGGCAGCCAUCUGGCCUAAUACUGACGCUGAGGUACGAAAGCAUGGGGAGCAAACAGGAUUAGAUACCCUGGUAGUCCAUGCCGUAAACGAUGUCUACUAGCCGUUGGGGCCUUUGAGGCUUUAGUGGCGCAGCUAACGCGAUAAGUAGACCGCCUGGGGAGUACGGUCGCAAGACUAAAACUCAAAUGAAUUGACGGGGGCCCGCACAAGCGGUGGAGCAUGUGGUUUAAUUCGAUGCAACGCGAAGAACCUUACCUGGCCUUGACAUACUAGAAACUUUCCAGAGAUGGAUUGGUGCCUUCGGGAAUCUAGAUACAGGUGCUGCAUGGCUGUCGUCAGCUCGUGUCGUGAGAUGUUGGGUUAAGUCCCGCAACGAGCGCAACCCUUUUCCUUACUUGCCAGCAUUUCGGAUGGGAACUUUAAGGAUACUGCCAGUGACAAACUGGAGGAAGGCGGGACGACGUCAAGUCAUCAUGGCCCUUACGGCCAGGGCUACACACGUGCUACAAUGGUCGGUACAAAGGGUUGCU
rnacentral:rRNA from 2 species